rnacentral:tRNA from 1 species
AAAGAAUUAGUUAAAUUUAUAACAUUAAAUUGUCAUUUUAAAAUUAUUAUUAAUAAUACUCUUUC